rnacentral:lncRNA from 1 species
CCAAUUCUAGAAACAUACUUAAGGGUGCAUGAUGUAUCUACAAUUUAAGUUUCAAUCAACCAAAUCCUCAACUUCAAUGGGGAUAAUUCAACGGUUAAAAUAUAUCUAUAGUCCCUAUAAUAAGCACAUUUUAACCUAACUCAACGCUUGGUAAAAAACGAAAUUACCUCAGCAGCUAGGUAUUCAAGAACAGCAGGAAGGUAAACGGGAGCACCCGUUCCCACACGUUGAGAGUAACGCCCUUUCUUCAAGUACCGGCCAAUUCGACCGACGGGAAACUGUAAUCCGGCUUUCACUGAACGAGAAACCGGUUUCUUCUUUGGACCGCCGCCUUUCCUUCCUCCGGCUCCUUUCUUCACCUUUGAUCCGGUAUCCAUCACUUCAAGUACAAAUUGGAGGAAAUGACUUCAAAUCCGAAAUGAAAUCUCGUAGUGAAAUUUUCUCGAGAAAAUGUUUGUGAUUUCGUAUAUGAUAAUUUGGAUCUAUUUAUGCGAGGAGAGAAAAAUGGGAGACAUUUGGCUUACGGAUUUGGAGAUUUUGAGCCGUUUAAUUGGUUGUUUAAUCGACGGUGGAUAUGCAACUCAUUUGGCAAUCCUCGUGAAAUGGAACAAUCCUAUCAAGUUGAUGUAAGGGGCUAAAUUCACUUAACUAUUGAUUACUUAAGUUUAAAAUUUCUUUUUCUAUAAUACUUACAAAUUUUAUCAACCCUAACCAUUAACAUUCUAUCGAUUUAAUCUUAAAUUCUAUAAACCUUAACUGUUUAUAUUCUAUCGAUUUAAUUUUAAUUCUGUUAAAAUAGUAUUGAUUCAUCUAUUCUAUCAAUUUAAUCUUAAAUUUUAUAGACCUUAACUGUUUACAUUCUAUCGAUUUAAUCAUAAAUCCAUUAAUAAUUUCAUUCACCCAUUAACUUAGAACCGCAUUGAAGCGGAUAUUCCUUGAGGAUUUCGACCAGUUACCUUGCUCUUGUUCUGAUUGAAGCAGGCAUCAGCCCUUCAAACCUUUACAUUCUAUCAAUUUAAUCUUAAUUCCUUAAAAUCAUUAACAUUCUAUCAAUUUAAUCUUAAUUCCGUGAAAAUAAAGUUCAUUCAUCGAUCAACCUAGAACCGCAUUGCAGCAGAUAUUCCUCAAGGAUUCCAACCAGUUACCUUGCUCUCGUUCGAGUCUUUAGUUAGACCUUUCGUGCUGUCAUCCGUUCUUACAGAAGACUCCAUUGAAGCAGGUAUCGGCCCUUAAAAGGUAGCCGUGAAAAACAGGGGUUACAAUUGAAAUUGAACGCGACAUGAGUUCUCGAUGUAUACGAUCGUUUGCCAACAUUGGUAUCCCACAUGGUUAGUGGCAAAAGGCAACAGAAGUCAACGAAGAACAAUAACAAGAAGAUAACCGGAAAGGAAAGAACAGAAGGGCAAAACCUCCACACGCAGUUGCGAUGCUAUAGACCCGGGAAGAUGAUUGUUAGAUUUUCAGUACGGGAAGAUCGAUUGAAGGAAUGUUAUCACUGACGAUAAUCAAUUUGAUAAAAAUAAGCACAAACCCAUAUAAUCUGAAUUUCAGUUCAUUCAUUUCAAACAAAACAUAUUCUAAACAACAUUACCAACAUUUUCCUACAACCAAAGUACACAAAAGGAACCUACAUACAUUAACAGAUAAAUCAAAACAAACCCUAUAAUAGACAAACAACUAAGCCUUCUUAGGUGAUUUCUUUGGAGACUUUGUAGCCUUAGAUGGCGACUUAGGCUCUUUUGCAGCCGCUUUCUCGUUUUUCUUUGGUAAAAGAACUGGGUUAAUAUUGGGUAAAACACCACCAUGAGCAAUAGUCACACCAGCUAAAAGCUUCCCAAGCUCUUCAUCGUUUCUCACUGCUAAUAGAACAUGCCUUGGAAUGAUCCUAUUCUUCUUGUUGUCUCUUGCAGCAUUACCAGCUAACUCAAGAACCUUUAUAUAAUUAAAAAGGAAAACAAACCCAAUUUUAAAAACAUAUUUAAGGGUAUAUCUACACUUUAAGGUCUCAAUCAACCAAAUCCCCAAAUUCAAUGGGGAUAAUUCAACGGUUAAAAUAUGCCUAUAGUCCCUAAACAAGUACAGGGACUAAAUUCAUAAUUCUUUAAAAGUAUAGGAACUAUAAGCACAUUUCAACCUAAUUCAACGCUUGGGAAAAAGUAAAUUUACCUCAGCAGCAAGGUAUUCAAGAACAGCAGCAAGGUAAACCGGAGCACCGGUUCCCACACGUUGAGAGUAUCGGCCUUUCUUCAAGUAUCGGCCAAUUCGACCAACGGGAAACUGUAAUCCGG